GUGGCUCGCAGGACACUAGGACUUACUGCAGAGGUUCUGGUAAAGUCCCCUUCUCCUGUUCCCUACAUUUGGUGCCCAACGUGGAUGUGAAUUGGAUCCACAAGUGAACUCGUCUGUGAGACAAACUCGGAGUAAAAGAGACAACACACGGAUCUCCCAGGACGAUUUCCGGACUCGGACGAGGGACACUGGUGUUCUGGAGAGAGAAGUCUGAACCCAAGGUAUGGUGGGCCACAGUCCCUCUGGAGGCUCUAGGAGAGACUCGUACCUUACAUCUUCCAGCUUCUGAAGGCUCCUGGUGUCCCAUGGCCUGUGGAAGCAUCACCCCAGCUUCCUGCCUCGCGUCCCCACAGCCUGCCCGUGUCCCUGUUUCUCUUUUCCUUUCCGUCUCCUACAAGGAUGCUCCAACCCUGCAUGAUCUCAUCUUGUGAUCCUCACCUUCAUGACUUCCGCAAGAACCCUUAUUCCAAACAAGGCCACAUGCUGAGAGUCCAGGCUUUUAUAUGGCAGCUGAUCACCAGAAAAGCAAGGAUGAUUGGAAGCUUGGGAUGUUCAAGCCCACUCUCCAUCCUCUGAGUAAGGAGUCAGUUCUCCAUUAAAAAGAAACAACAACUUCUCGACAUACUGUUAAAGCAUAUACUGUUAAAGGAUACGCUCAAGACACUGCCAUUGCACAUGGCAGAUUGAACACAGCAAUGAACAAUUGGAAUUUGAAGUUAAAAACACAAGAUCAAAGUGCCAGCAGGACCAGUGUUUGUCGAAGGAUACUCUGCUUCCAAGAUGGCAUCUUGUUAAAGGGACAUAAAGCCAGAAAGUGUUCCCUUCAAACUGGAGCCUUUCCUGAAUGUGCUAAUCCCAUUCCUGAUGGUAUUCAUUCAGGUAUCCAUUCUCUUCACUUAAUCACCUCCCAAAGACCGCACCUGUUAACACUGUUGGGGUAGAAAUCAGAUUUCAUUAUGAACUCAGGGGCACCAUCCUUUAAACCAUAGAAAGCAGUAAUCGAAUUAAGAUGAGAUCAUUAGGAGGGCCCUAAUCCAGUACCGGUAGAGCCUUUUAAAAGGUGGCAAUUUAGGGCUGGGGAUUUAGCUCAGUGGUUCUGUUGCCUGCCUCGUAGGUGCAAGGUCCUGAGUUCGAUCCCCGGUACCGAAAAAAAAGUUUCUAUUAUUUAAGCCACUCAAUUUGUGGUACUUUGUUAUGACAGCCCUAGAAAGCCAGUACAAAAACCAAGCUCUGGGCCCUGAGUAUGUUCAUUGCUUCUCCUCUAGUGCCCUCGCUUCUAGACCCACUCUCUGGCAGAUUACAGUGCAUAUAUGUACACUAACUGCAAAUCAGUCAAUUUUUGAUUUAUAUAUUUUGAGACCAUAUAUUAGAUGCACACAAACUUAGACUUGUUACAUAUUCCUAGAGAAUCCACAGUUUAUCAUUUUGAAGCAUCCCUCUCUAUCUCCAGUAAUACUUUUUAGCUUUAGAAUCUACAGUGUACUUGGUGUUAAUACAAUGACUCAAGUUUAGGGGAGAUUAGUAUAUUUUAUCCAUCCUUUUUUCUCACUGUUUUUCAUGAUUAAGAUGUGUCCUUAUAAUGCAAAAUAAUUGGUUUUUAAGUCUUUACUGUCAAUCUCUGUCUUUUAUUGGGACAUGUGGUCCGUUGCAUUUAAUGUAGUUAUAGAUGAAACUGGGGCUGGAGAUUUAGCUCAGUGGCGCCACACCUGCCUUGGAAGCACAAGGUCCUGAGUUUGAUCCCUGGUACCAAAAAAAAUAAAAUAAAAUAAAAGUAAAUAAAUAUAUAUAUUAUAUAUAUAUAUUUGGCAUAGAUGAAAUUGGAAUUAUACUUACCAUUUUACAGUGGUUUCUUCCUGUUCCAGGUAUUUUAUGUUCCUUUUGUUCUCUCUUGCCCUCUUUUGAAGUGAGCAUUCUUAUUAUUUCAUUUUUCUUGAUACUAAUUUGGAAGUUAUAUACUCUUUCCCAAUUCUUAGAAAUUAAAGUAUUCCUAUUAAA